AAUACAGUCCUUGGAUGGUGUAAACUUCCCACUAACACCAUACACCAUUACACCAUACACGAUACCCCAUUACACCAUACACCUUGUACCAUUACACCAUACACGUUACACCUUUGCACCAUACACCUUACGCUUUACACCAUACACCAUUCCCCAUUCUAUCUACAGGAUCCGAAAUUACCCAUAAUGCAAUUAAAUUUUAAAUAUUAAGAUUUUUAUUAUGUUUAUGAUUACAAUCCGAAAAAAUGAAAUAAGAAAAAAAUCGUUUGCAACCACUGAAAGGUCGUACACUAUCAUUCACACCAUUCCCGAUCGCACGUUACACAAUCACACCAUUCCUCAUACAUCAUUACACCAUUCCCCUUACACCAUACACCAUAGCACCA
rnacentral:lncRNA from 1 species